CAGCAGCCACGGUAAUACGUAGGGUGCGAGCGUUAAUCGGAAUUACUGGGCGUAAAGCGUGCGCAGGCGGUUGUGUAAGACAGGUGUGAAAUCCCCGGGCUUAACCUGGGAACUGCGCUUGUGACUGCACAGCUAGAGUAUGGCAGAGGGGGGUGGAAUUCCACGUGUAGCAGUGAAAUGCGUAGAGAUGUGGAGGAACACCGAUGGCGAAGGCAGCCCCCUGGGCCAAUACUGACGCUCAUGCACGAAAGCGGGGGGAGCAAACAGGAUUAGAUACCCCUGUAGUCCCUGUCUCUUAUAC
rnacentral:rRNA from 1 species